rnacentral:rRNA from 1 species
GACAGAGGCCUCGAGCGUUAGGCGGAAUCACUGGGCUUCAAGCGUGUGUAGGCGGGCCCGUAAGUGUCUUGUGAAAUCCCACGGCUCAACCGUGGAACUGCUGGGCAUACUGCGGGUCUUGGGCCAACUAGGGGCAGCCGGAACAAGCGGUGGAGCGGUGAAAUGCGUAGAUAUCGCUUGGAACGCCGAAGGUGAAAACAGGCUGCUGGGGUUGCGCCGACGCUGAGACACGAAAGCCAGGGGAGCAAACGGG